CCUGGCUCAGGAUGAACGCUAGCUACAGGCUUAACACAUGCAAGUCGAGGGGCAGCAUGGUCUUAGCUUGCUAAGGCCGAUGGCGACCGGCGCACGGGUGAGUAACACGUAUCCAACCUGCCGUCUACUCUUGGACAGCCUUCUGAAAGGAAGAUUAAUACAAGAUGGCAUCAUGAGUCCGCAUGUUCACAUGAUUAAAGGUAUUCCGGUAGACGAUGGGGAUGCGUUCCAUUAGAUAGUAGGCGGGGUAACGGCCCACCUAGUCUUCGAUGGAUAGGGGUUCUGAGAGGAAGGUCCCCCACAUUGGAACUGAGACACGGUCCAAACUCCUACGGGAGGCAGCAGUGAGGAAUAUUGGUCAAUGGGCGAGAGCCUGAACCAGCCAAGUAGCGUGAAGGAUGACUGCCCUAUGGGUUGUAAACUUCUUUUAUAAAGGAAUAAAGUCGGGUAUGGAUACCCGUUUGCAUGUACUUUAUGAAUAAGGAUCGGCUAACUCCGUGCCAGCAGCCGCGGUAAUACGGAGGAUCCGAGCGUUAUCCGGAUUUAUUGGGUUUAAAGGGAGCGUAGAUGGAUGUUUAAGUCAGUUGUGAAAGUUUGCGGCUCAACCGUAAAAUUGCAGUUGAUACUGGAUAUCUUGAGUGCAGUUGAGGGCAGGCGGAAUUCGUGGUGUAGCGGUGAAAUGCUUAGAUAUCACGAAGAACUCCGAUUGCGAAGGCAGCCUGCUAAGCUGCAACUGACAUUGAGGCUCGAAAGUGUGGGUAUCAAACAGGAUUAGAUACCCUGGUAGUCCACACGGUAAACGAUGAAUACUCGCUGUUUGCGAUAUACUGCAAGCGGCCAAGCGAAAGCGUUAAGUAUUCCACCUGGGGAGUACGCCGGCAACGGUGAAACUCAAAGGAAUUGACGGGGGCCCGCACAAGCGGAGGAACAUGUGGUUUAAUUCGAUGAUACGCGAGGAACCUUACCCGGGCUUAAAUUGCAGAUGAAUUACGGUGAAAGCCGUAAGCCGCAAGGCAUCUGUGAAGGUGCUGCAUGGUUGUCGUCAGCUCGUGCCGUGAGGUGUCGGCUUAAGUGCCAUAACGAGCGCAACCCUUGUUGUCAGUUACUAACAGGUUCCGCUGAGGACUCUGACAAGACUGCCAUCGUAAGAUGUGAGGAAGGUGGGGAUGACGUCAAAUCAGCACGGCCCUUACGUCCGGGGCUACACACGUGUUACAAUGGGGGGUACAGAGGGCCGCUACCACGCGAGUGGAUGCCAAUCCCCAAAACCUCUCUCAGUUCGGACUGGAGUCUGCAACCCGACUCCACGAAGCUGGAUUCGCUAGUAAUCGCGCAUCAGCCACGGCGCGGUGAAUACGUUCCCGGGCCUUGUACACACCGCCC
rnacentral:rRNA from 1 species